rnacentral:rRNA from 1 species
UACGGAGGGAGCUAGCGUUGUUCGGAAUUACUGGGCGUAAAGCGCACGUAGGCGGCUAUUCAAGUCAGAGGUGAAAGCCCGGGGCUCAACCCCGGAACUGCCUUUGAAACUAGGUAGCUAGAAUCUUGGAGAGGUCAGUGGAAUUCCGAGUGUAGAGGUGAAAUUCGUAGAUAUUCGAAAGAACACCAGUGGCGAAGGCGACUGACUGGACAAGUAUUGACGCUGAGGUGCGAAAGCGUGGGGAGCAAACAGG